UAACAAACAGUAACUACCAUAUUAACAACCAUAUGGAGACAUAAGCUAAAACACUAAUCACCUAUGGGUAACCCUACUAUCCCACACCCAACCGCGAGAGAUGCGAACGAAGGACUCUAGGAGCCCCUAGCCUACAAUCCUGAUUCUAAACCUCCAAACGCCCCUAUCAAGGGUCAUGCCCUCGGUAACCUGCAAUCUGGUCAUGUCCUGCCNNNN
rnacentral:lncRNA from 1 species